CAUACAAUUUAAUUCUAAGAGCUUUCAAGAAAUGGGUUGUGUUUGCUUUGCAAGUCAUAUCAUGAGAGACUGCUAAAAAUAUCAUGCUUGAAUAACAGGAGAGUAGUUGAUGUUUUCUGAAUUGAACUUUUUAGAUGAACUACUACCGUGGCAUCAGUCACCACAAUUGCAUUUCAGGAAAAUAACCAGUUGUCCUAUAAAGCUUUGCUAAGAACUUAUCCAGGGCUGCCUUUUCUCUCUCGAUUUCCCUGAGCCAGAUAUUUAAAAUCUUCUGAAGUUUUUCAACAUAAAGCUUGUUUCUCCUCUCCUCUACCAAGUUGGUCAUGACAGCCCUCCACAUGUUCAUGGGGUCUCCAACUUUCAAAGUGUUCCCCUUCAGUAUGCGGCCCUUGCCACUCAUCUUCAAACUACGUCUGAGGGAGUCUCCAACUUUUGAAGUCUUCCCCUUCGCUGUGCGGCACUUGUUACUCUUUUUCAAACUUGUCAGAGGAGGUUCCAGACAGGACUGAGAGUCAUCUUUAUUGCUGUACAGUGACUCUUCAGGGGUAAGGAAUUCUAAAACCACAGCCCCAAGGGAACAGAGCAUCUCAGAAUGUUGAGGCUGAGUGAUGUCACAGAUCCUCCUAGCUCAAACCAGCUAUGACCAGAAAAAGGUGUUAAGCUUGAAGAUUAAACCAUUCUUCAGUGAUGAAGUGAACUGAUAGAGCAGGUUGGCUCUCAGAUGCCUACUACCAUCUUAUGCUUCUACCCAGGUUGAAUGGUCACCCGCCACUGUCCACCGCUCAACCAUCUCCUUUUUCACAGGAGAGGGUAGCUCAGAGAGACAGCACCAUGCCCAGAGUUCUCAGAACACACUGGCCUCCUGUAUUCUCCUGCCUCUUCUCUCCUUCCUGCCCGAAUCUAGGUUCCAGAAAGGGAAAUGGUUUAGAAGGUUACUGGAUAGAUGUUGGAUCUGGAACUGGAUGGUGUGAAAGCUGGAAAUUGUCCCUGCAAGCCCUGAAAAUUAGUUACUCUUAUCUUGACAUCCUUAGACACAAAAAGGGAUGAGAGUGACCAGAUAACUUUAGACUUAAUAAACCUUGUUUCCAUUUCUUCCUACUCUUUCUUCCAUUUUAGUGAGCAUCUACCACAUCCUUGGCACAUCCUUGGUGUCAUCUACCAUUCAGAGAUACAAGACGAUUGCAGUAGCUCUGAGUGUCAGUCCUCACAGGAGGAAAUCCAAAAGCAGGAACAGACUUAAGUGCUCUUCACUGGGCACUCUUUUUAUCAGGAGUUAGAAUUAGUUUCACAGAGCAGGAAAGUCUGUGGAGGAAAUCAAUUGGCAGCACCAAGGCAACCUGGAGAGGCUUCCAGUAGCUGGUACAUGGACUCAUCCAGAGUGAGUACUGGAGCCAACAUUUGCUGGAACUAGGCCAGUCACAGAACCAUAUACCCACUAGUCACAACCCAAAGAUGAAGCGGAAACUCAGGAUUUCUACUUAGCCUUACUUCGGCACAGAU
ensembl:lncRNA